rnacentral:rRNA from 1 species
UACGGAGGGGGCUAGCGUUGUUCGGAAUUACUGGGCGUAAAGCGCACGUAGGCGGCUUUGUAAGUUAGAGGUGAAAGCCCAGGGCUUAACCCUGGAAUUGCCUUUAAGACUGCAUCGCUAGAAUCGUGGAGAGGUGAGUGGAAUUCCGAGUGUAGAGGUGAAAUUCGUAGAUAUUCGGAAGGAACACCAGUGGCGAAGGCGGCUCACUGGCCCGAUACUGACGCUGAGGCACGGAAAGCGUGGGGAGCAAACAGG